UACGUAGGGGGCUAGCGUUGCUCGGAAUUACUGGGCGUAAAGCGCACGUAGGCGGCUUUCUAAGUCGGGGGUGAAAUCCUGGAGCUCAACUCCAGAACUGCCUUCGAUACUGGAAAGCUCGAGUCCGGGAGAGGUGAGUGGAACUGCGAGUGUAGAGGUGAAAUUCGUAGAUAUUCGCAAGAACACCAGUGGCGAAGGCGGCUCACUGGCCCGAUACUGACGCUGAGGCACGAAAGCGUGGGGAGCAAACAGG
rnacentral:rRNA from 1 species